rnacentral:rRNA from 2 species
CAUCCUGCACAGGUCCGCCUCAGGAUGGGGCUGCGGCCCAUCAGGUAGUGGGCGGGGUAAAGGCCCACCAAGCCGAUAACGGGUGCGGGCUCUGGAAGGAGGAGCCCGGAGAUGGGCACUGAGACAAGGGCCCAGGUCCUACGGGGCGCAGCAGGCGCGAAACCUCCACAAUGCGGGAAACCGCGAUGGGGUUACCCCGAGUGUCGCCCGCUGAGGGCGACUUUUCUGGGGUCUAAAAAGCCCCAGGAAUAAGGGGAGGGCAAGUCUGGUGUCAGCCGCCGCGGUAAUACCAGCUCCCCGAGUGGUCGGGACGUUUAUUGGGCCUAAAGCGCCCGUAGCCGGCCCGGUGUGUCUCCCGUCAAAUCCGCCGGCUCAACCGGCGGACCGCGGGGGAUACUAUCGGGCUAGGGGGCGGGAGAGGUCGGGGGUACUCCCGGGGUAGGGGUAAAAUCCUCUGAUCCCGGGAAGACCACCGGUGGCGAAGGCGUCCGGCCAGAACGCGCCCGACGGUGAGGGGCGAAAGCUGGGGGAGCGAACCGGAUUAGAUACCCGGGUAGUCCCAGCUGUAAACGAUGCGGGCUAGGUGCUGGAGGGGCUACGGGCCCCUCCAGUGCCGCAGGGAAGCCGUUAAGCCCGCCGCCUGGGGAGUACGGCCGCAAGGCUGAAACUUAAAGGAAUUGGCGGGGGAGCACACAAGGGGUGAAGCCUGCGGUUCAA